GUGGGGAAUAUUGGACAAUGGGGGGAACCCUGAUCCAGCCAUGCCGCGUGUGUGAAGAAGGCCUUUUGGUUGUAAAGCACUUUAAGCGAGGAGGAGGCUACCGAGAUUAAUACUCUUGGAUAGUGGACGUUACUCGCAGAAUAAGCACCGGCUAACUUCGUGCCAGCAGCCGCGGUAAUACGAAGGGUGCAAGCGUUAAUCGGAAUUACUGGGCGUAAAGCGUGCGCAGGCGGUUAUAUAAGACAGAUGUGAAAUCCCCGGGCUCAACCUGGGAACUGCAUUUGUGACUGUAUAGCUAGAGUACGGUAGAGGGUAGUGGAAUUUCCUGUGUAGCGGUGAAAUGCGUAGAUAUAGGAAGGAACACCAGUGGCGAAGGCGACUACCUGGACUGAUACUGACACUGAGGUGCGAAAGCGUGGGGAGCAAACAGGAUUAGAUACCCCGGUAGUCC
rnacentral:rRNA from 1 species